UGGCUAGAGCAGCUGUUUUGUAAACAGCAGGUCGCCGGUUCAAAUCCGGU
rnacentral:tRNA from 1 species